rnacentral:rRNA from 1 species
ACUGUGGGUAGCGGAGAAAUUCCAAUCGAACCCGGAGAUAGCUGGUUCUCUCCGAAAUAGCUUUAGGGCUAGCCUUGAAAUAGAUUACCGGAGGUAAAGCACUGAAUUGGCUAGGGGCCGAGAGGUUACUGAACCUUAUCAAACUAAGAAUGCCGGAUAAUCGUUUUUCAGGAGUCAGACAGUGGGAGAUAAGUUUCAUUGUCAAAAGGGAAACAGCCCAGACCCACAGCUAAGGUCCCCAAGUAUAGUUAAGUGGAAAAGGAUGUGGAAUUGCACAGACAACCAGGAUGUUGGCUUAGAAGCAGCCACUCAUUAAAAGAGUGCGUAAUAGCUCACUGGUCGAGUGACUCUGCGCCGAAAAUUUAACGGGGCUAAACUAUACACCGAAGCUUGGGAUACAUCUAAUGUAUGGUAGGAGAGCGUUCUGUAUGGGGAGAAGUCGUAGCGAAAGCGGCGGUGGACUAUACAGAAGUGAGAAUGCCGGAAUAAGUAGCGAGAAUUAAGUGAGAAUCUUAAUGGCCGAAAGUCUAAGGUUUUUGGAGGAAGGUUCGUCCGCUCCAAGUAAGUCGGGAGCUAAGGUCAGGCCGAAAGGCGUAGCCGAUGCACAUACGGUUGAUAUUCCGUAACCAUCUGUAAUUUAAGCAAAGGGACACUUCAAAAGGGUGUGACCCGGGCGUUGGUUGACCCGGGCGUAAGGGACCGAAAUUAGAGUAGGGAAGCACACUUAGCUGAAGGCGAGAAAAGCUUUGCGUAUAGAAACAGAUGCCCGUACCGCAAACCGACACAGGUGGACAGGAAGAGAAUUCUAAGGCCAGCGGGAGAAGGGUAGUUAAGGAACUCGGCAAAUUGACUCCGUAACUUCGGAAUAAGGAGUGCUCGAAAGAGCCGCAGAGAAUAGGCCCAGGCGACUGUUUAGCAAAAACACAGGUCUCUGCCAAAUCGAAAGAUGAAGUAUAGGGGCUGACACCUGCCCGGUGCCGGAAGGUUAAGAGGAGGAGUGAGAGCUCCGAAUUGAAGCCCCGGUAAACGGCGGCCGUAACUAUAACGGUCCUAAGGUAGCGAAAUUCCUUGUCGGGUAAGUUCCGACCCGCACGAAUGGUGUAACGAUCUGGGCACUGUCUCAACUACCCACCCGGCGAAAUUGUAGUACCGGUGAAGAUGCCGGUUACCUGCGGCAAGACGGAAAGACCCCAUGGAGCUUUACUGUAGCCUGAUAUUGGGUUUCGGAAAUCUAUGUACAGGAUAGGCGGGAGACUGGGAAACAUGAGCGUCAGCUUGUGUGGAGUCGAUGUUGGGAUACCGCCCUUAGGUUUCUGGAAUUCUAACCUGCGGCCGUGAAUCCGGUCGGGGGACAUUGUCAGGUGGGCAGUUUGACUGGGGCGGUCGCCUCCGAAAAGGUAACGGAGGCGCUCAAAGGUUAGCUCAGCACGGACGGAAACCGUGCCUCUGAGUGUAAACGCAAAAGCUAGCCUAACUGCGAGGGUGACGGCCCGAGCAGUAACGAAAGUUGGAGUUAGUGAUCCGGCGGUAUGUGAAUGGAAAUGCCGUCGCUCAACGGAUAAAAGCUACCCUGGGGAUAACAGGCUGAUCUCCCCCAAGAGUCCACAUCGACGGGGAGGUUUGGCACCUCGAUGUCGGCUCAUCGCAUCCUGGGGCUGAAGUCGGUUCCAAGGGUUGGGCUGUUCGCCCAUUAAAGCGGUACGCGAGCUGGGUUCAGAACGUCGCGAGACAGUUCGGUCCCUAUCUAUCACGGGCGUAGGAAAUUUGAGGAGAGCUGACCUUAGUACGAGAGGACCGGGUUGGACGUACCGCUGGUGCACCUGUUGUUCUGCCAAGGGCAUAGCAGGGUAGCUAAGUACGGACGGGAUAAACGCUGAAGGCAUCUAAGCGUGAAGCCCCCUUCGAGAUAAGAUUUCCCAUAGCGUAGGCUAGUAAGGACCCAUGAAGACUACAUGGUUGAUAGGCCGGAGGUGGAAGUGCAGUAAUGUAUGUAGCUGACCGGUACUAAUAGUCCGAGGGCUUGACCA